CAAACAGCUACCUAUCCUUCAAGUCUCAGCUCAAAUCCACUUCCUCUGUGAAGCCUUCCCUCCUUCCCUCUCUGGUCUCUUAGCACAGUUCCAUUCUUUGUGCUUCCAAAGCAUUCGGUCCAUUCCACUAUCAGGACUUAUCAUGCUAUAUUUUAAUUAGCUCUUUGUAUUUCUAUGCUAUUUCUUCACUAGAUUCCUUCAGAGACUGUGUAUGAUUUGAUUCGGUCCUGUACUCCUAGUGCCCAGGACAGAGCCUGGCACAGAAAUGAUAAAAUGAGAGGGUGACAUAAGGGAAAGUCUCCCUGUUUGUGCCCCAUGGAGAUUACAGCAAUUCCAUAUGAAAACUGUUGGGGACAGCCUUUUAAAACAGCUUUAACAGCAGCCCCAGGUGUGAGCCACUGAGAUUCUCCAGAGUUUCUCAAUAGCAGAGCGCUCCGACUCCCUUCCUAUAGGGAUCAAUCAGCUGGAAAGGAACAGACAGGCACUUUCUUCAGAGGAGAGGUUACUGUUGAUCAAGGAAGAAAUUUAUACCUUUGGUGACUUGGCUGGUAAAAGGGCAGACAACAUUUAUUAAUCAACACCAUCUGGUAGAUUCUAGCAGGUGAUGGUUUGUCAUUCAAAGUCCUGAGCCAGCACCUGCCACACAAUUAAAAGCAGGAAAACAGGAAAGAAAAGAAGGAAUCGGAUACACUGAGCAUCAACUUCUCUGUGCCAGGAACCACGGUAGGCAUUUUCUCACACAUUACAUUUUACUAUUCAUUUGUUUAAUCCUAAAACAGAUAUAAUCAACCCCACUUUCGGGGAGUGAACAUAAGUUUAACGAGUUUAAGCUGUUGGCUUAGAAGUUAAGCACUUGUAAGUGAAGCUGAGAUUGCAACCCAAGUUGAGAACUAUUUUCCGCUAUUCCAAAGAUGGCCACUAAAAUUGCUACGUUUCUAGUGCCCGAGGCCAAGGCAUCAUCAUCAAAAUAGCUACCAAUUUUUGCUCAUUUAUGAUGUGUCAAGUAUUAUGCUAAGUGUCACUCCCUCUCUCAGAUAAACCUAACAACUAAUCGCUAUUAUUCUGAUAAGAAAUGGGCAUACUAUGGUUCGAAGAGGCAAAUUUGCUGGUUCACAGUUCAAUAACUAGUAAGUAAUGGAGCCAGGACUCCAAACCAGUUUGACUCAUGUUUCUGGCUUCAGGCUUCUUCCAACAUAGGUCAUUUAAACUNNNNNNNNNNNNNNNNNNNNNNNNNNNNNNNNNNNNNNNNNNNNNNNNNNNNNNNNNNNNNNNNNNNNNNNNNNNNNNNNNNNNNNNNNNNNNNNNNNNNNNNNNNNNNNNNNNNNNNNNNNCUCACUCUAGUUCCAUUUUGCUAGUCACUUUUAUUUUUCCUGAACCCUAAAGCCUUUAUUGGCGAUUCCUCAGGUAUCUAGAACUAGAAAUACCAUUUGACCCAGCCAUCUCAUUACUGGGUAUACACUCAAAGGAUUAUAAAUCAUGCUGCUAUAAAAACACAUGCACAUGUAUGUUUAUUGUGGCCCUAUUCACAAUAGCAAAGACUUGAAACCAACCCAAAUGUCCAACAAUGAUAGACUUGAUUAAGAAAAUGUGGCACAUAUACACCAUGGAAUACUAUGCAGCCAUAAAAAAGGAUGAGUUCAUGUCCUUUGUAGAUACAUGGAUGAAACUGGAAAUCAUCAUUCUCAGCAAACUAUCGCAAGGACAAAAAACCAAACACCACAUGUUCUCACUGAUAGGUGGGAACUGAACAGCGAGAACACAUGGACAGAGGAAGGGGAACAUCACACUCCGGGGACUGUUGUGGGGUGGGGGGAGGCAGGAGGGAUAGCAUUAGGAGAUAUACCUAAUGCUAAAUGACAAGUUAAUGGGUACAGUACACCAACAUGGCACAUGUAUACAUAUGUAACAAACCUGCACAUUGUGCACAUGUACCCUAAAACUUAAAGUAUAAUAAUAAAAAAUAAAAAAUAAAAAAUAAAAAAUAUUGGCCAGGUGCAGUGUCUCACACCUGUAAUCCCAGCACUUUCAGAGGCCAAGAUGCGAAGAUCACUGGAGACCAGGAAUUUGAGACCAGCCUGGGCAACACAGCCAGACCCUGUCUCCACAAAAAAUAAAAAUUAAAUUAGCUGGGCAUGUUGGCAUUCACCCGAAGUCCCAGCUACACAGGAGGGUGAGGCAGUAGGAUCCCUUGAGCCCAGGAAUUUGAGGCUGCAGUGAGUUAUGAGCAUGCCACCGCACUCCAGUCUAGGCAACACUGUGAAACUCUGUCCCAAAAAAUAUGUAUGUACAUAUAUACAUAGGCACUAUCUGACCCAGUAAUCUCACUCCUCAGGAUCUAUCCUAGGGAUUUCAAGAGAAAAUAUCCUUAUGUCAAAAGAUGUUCAUUGUGGUAUUAUUUAAAUAGCCAAAAUGUCCAACAAAGGAGAUUAUUAAGUAAAUCAUGUGAAAUCUAUUCAGUGAAAGGGUAUGCAUCAUAAUUCAACAUGAUCGUUCUGGAGCCUACACCAUGAGAUGGUGCCUAUGACAGACUAAGUGAUCAAAGACAGAACAGUAUUUAGCCUCUGAUUAGACCAGGAGCCCAGGGGCAUCAGGACUGAACGAUAGUACAGAAAAUCAGUAAGAGUUACUUUGCUAGGGUAGUGGAAUUAUAGCUACCAUUUUCUAGUUUUUCUAGGUUUCCUUUAUUGAUCCAUUAAUGUUUGUUAAAAUUUUAUUAAAAUAUACAAACAUUUGCAUUUCAAUUCUUUCUUCAGUGUUAACACUGGGAUUUCACCUUCUGGAUCCUGGUGUCCCUAUCAGCAGCAGCCACCAGAGAACUAACCACUGGUACUCUUUUGAGUCCUCUACUCUAAUGACUGCCUGGCCCAGGAUCUCAGGCAGACAAUUCAAUUAACCUUCAUGGCAAUGAUCACUCAGACCCAGACCCCAAUCCUACCUGAUUGCAACAAGGCUACAUAUCUGGAUGUGACUCUCAGGAGGGAUUAAAUUAAAAGACACUGAAUAUUUAAGUUUAAGUAUAAUUGAAAUUUAAUAAGUCUACCAAAUUCAGAGAGGAUUUUUAAAUGCUAAUACCCAAUGCUAAAUACAGUACAGUCAUAAAAAAGAUCACCUAGAGAAACCUGAUAUAAUCUUUCUGUAGAACAAUUUGAAUAUAUCUGUACAACAGUCCUUAAAAUAUUCAUACUCUUUGGCCCAGUUAUUAUACCUCUAUCAGGAACAAUCAGUGAGGUGGGCAUGGUGGUAUGUGCCUAUAAUCCCAGCUACUCAAGAAACUGAGGUGGGAGGAUCACUUGAGCCCAGGAGUUCAGGAAUAGCCCAGGAAACAGAGUGAGACCCUGUCUCAAAAAAAACAACAAAGAAUCAGUGGAUAAAUAUUUAUGUACAAGGAUGUUUGCUGCAGAAGUCAUAAGGCAAAAAAACAGUAAAAUAAUCUAAAUGCCGUUCAAAAAAGAACUAGUUAAAUAAACUGUAAUACAUCCAAGUGAUGAAAUAUUAUGCUGGCACAAAAAAAAUUGUUUUUGAAGAACAUUCAUGACAUGGCAACAAACCAGAGAGAGAACAUUAAACUUAAAAAAACACGAUACAAAACUGUAUUUUCAACUCGAUAACAACUCUGUGUGUGUGUGUGUGUGUGUGAGAGAGAGAGAGAGAGAGAGAGAGAGGAGAAUAAAAGGACUGAAAUGCCAAAUAGAUCAAAUGAAGCUGGUCAUUUCUAGGUACUGAGAUAAUAAGUGAAAUAUUUUCUUAAGUCUUCUGUACUGAAUAUCACCCUACAACCAGACACAGCCACAUAGCCCCAAAAGCACUGUCCACUGUGUCAGAAGGGCAGGGCGGUACUCACACGGAUGGUGCAGUCUCCUUUGCUCUUCUCUCGAUGGGCUUCCUCCAGGUCCUUCUCCAGUCUCUCCCUCUCCUGCUGCAAGUCACUCAGCUCCUGGGUGAUCUUCUUAAUGCUUCUACGCAGUCUGUGGUUCUCUGUACUCUUGGUGAGGUUUUGUGAGCGCAGCGCAGCCGAAAGGGCUUUCUUUCCUGAUAGAGCAGUCUCAUAGUCUUCAGACCCCUAGAAGAGAAGGCAGAGAAGCAAGAUGAGCUAAUUUUCAUACCUCAUGAAACAAACCAAGAAACCUGGGCUCUUUUUCGCCAUGGGGGAAAAAAAGAAAAGAAAAAGAUUAACAUAGACAACAUUCAGAAACCAAAGCAAAAAUAAUAGGAAGAUUUUGGAAUAACAUAAGAUAAUGUUUCUUAUGAUGUGGAUGGUUGUACGAAAGAAGUAUUUUCUUAAAGGACCAGAAAAAAAGCACAAAUUCUCAGCUGGGCACAGUGGCUCACACCUGUAAUCCCAGCACUUUGGGAGGCUGAGGCAGAUGGAUCAUGAGGUCAGGAGUUCAAGACUAGCCUGGCCAACACGGUGAAACCCCGUCUCUGCUAAAAAUACAAAAAUUAGCCAGGCGUGGAGGUGGGUGCCUGUAGUCCCAGCUACUCGGGAAGGCUGAGGCAGAGAACUGCAUGAACCCGGAGGCGGAGGCUGC
rnacentral:lncRNA from 1 species